rnacentral:lncRNA from 1 species
UAUACAUAUGAUUUUUAUUUUUUAGGUUUUCGGGAAGUUUGAGGCAAACCUUCUCAGACAAGGCAGAUUGGACUGUAUUUGCAUCUGAGGAAAUGAGGGAGACAACUUGGUAUGUUGUUGAAGAACCAGCAGUUUGAGUGUCAAAGAAACCAACUUCUUGUCUUAAGACUGAUUUUAGGUAUUCCAUUCUCAUUCUAGAAGCCUGUCUCUCAGCUGUUCUAGUCCAACAUAUUCCUUCUGUAUAUCAAAUUAGUAUCAAGCAAGAAAACUAGUUAGCUUUAUUUUACUAAAAUUUUCUAGCCAUACUAUUUGCAUUAUUAUUUCCAAGUUGAUUUGAGUUCUGCAAGGAAUAUAACUGAGCAGAGAUAUCAGAUAUGAAGUGAACAGCUUACCAAUAAAAGCUGAAAUUCCAACUCCAAUUGCAACACAUAAUAGCUUGGAUGCAUACUGAAAAGAGGAAAGUAAAAUGGUAUAUAAGAAAUUGUUGUGUAAUCAUAUCCCAAAAAUUAAAUUGUGUAAAUAAGUGGAAUCAGAUAUGAGUGUGCUGACAACUUUUUAAGUUCAAAAUGAAUUUCUCCUGCAAUAGUCUAUAGCAAAAGAGCAGUAAUUUUAGGGGACAGGCUCACCUUGUUCACAUCAUGCUGUGUUAUACGGCUAUUCUUGUCGCCAUAGGCAUUGAUCACAUCACUAAGAAUGUACAUCAUAAGAGGAUUCUGCAGACCAUCACCCAGGCUGCCUAGAGUUCCAAAGAACAUCAACAAUUUAUCGACUCCAUCUGCGUAACGAAACAUGCUAUUGCUCCCCAUUUCCCCCUAUAUAUGGACUCUCCCUUUUGGUGGGAAGUAUUUUUAGAAAGAUUCACUAAGCUUUAUCAACUUAGAAAGACUUAUAUAAACUUAGUAAGAUACUCUUAGA